AUGAUAUUUUCUGUGUUGAUGCAAUGUACUGAGAGUAACAUGACAAGCAUCAUAUUUACCCGAGUACAUUGCAUCAACACAGAAAAUAUCAUGAUUACUAGAU